rnacentral:rRNA from 1 species
ACGGGUGAGUAAUGCCUAGGAAUCUGCCUGGUAGUGGGGGACAACGUUUCGAAAGGAACGCUAAUACCGCAUACGUCCUACGGGAGAAAGCAGGGGACCUUCGGGCCUUGCGCUAUCAGAUGAGCCUAGGUCGGAUUAGCUAGUUGGUAGGGUAAAGGCUCACCAAGGCGACGAUCCGUAACUGGUCUGAGAGGAUGAUCAGUCACACUGGAACUGAGACACGGUCCAGACUCCUACGGGAGGCAGCAGUGGGGAAUAUUGGACAAUGGGCGAAAGCCUGAUCCAGCCAUGCCGCGUGUGUGAAGAAGGUCUUCGGAUUGUAAAGCACUUUAAGUUGGGAGGAAGGGCAUUAACCUAAUACGUUAGUGUUUUGACGUUACCGACAGAAUAAGCACCGGCUAACUCUGUGCCAGCAGCCGCGGUAAUACAGAGGGUGCAAGCGUUAAUCGGAAUUACUGGGCGUAAAGCGCGCGUAGGUGGUUUGUUAAGUUGAAUGUGAAAUCCCCGGGCUCAACCUGGGAACUGCAUCCAAAACUGGCAAGCUAGAGUAGGGUAGAGGGUGGUGGAAUUUCCUGUGUAGCGGUGAA